rnacentral:sRNA from 1 species
AUGGCUGUCGUCAGCUCGUGUCGUGAGAUGUUGGGUUAAGUCCCGUAACGAGCGCAACCCUUGUCCUUAUUUGCCAGCACGUAAUGGUGGGAACUCUAAGGAGACUGCCGGUGACAAACCGGAGGAAGGUGGGGACGACGUCAAGUCAUCAUGGCCCUUAUGACCAGGGCUACACACGUGCUACAAUGGAGCGUACAGAGGGUUGCUAAGCCGCGAGGUGGAGCCAAUCCCAGAAAACGUUUCGUAGUCCGGAUCGAAGUCUGCAACUCGACUUCGUGAAGUCGGAAUCGCUAGUAAUCGCGAAUCAGCAUGUCGCGGUGAAUACGUUCCCGGGCCUUGUACACACCGCCCGUCACACCAUGGGAGUGGGUUGCAAAAGAAGUGGCUAGUCUAACCUUCGGGAGGACGGUCACCACUUUGUGAUUCAUGACUGGGGUGAAGUCGUAACAAGGUAGCCCUAGGGGAACCUGGGGCUGGAUCACCUCCUUAAACGCAAUGCCACCCGGCAAGCGCUCACAACGAAUUACUUGAUUAAAGAAUUAGCAUUUGGCGCAAGCCAAGUGCUUUUUGUUAUUGAGCUGUUUAGUGCAAGCUAAACCUGCUCUUUAAAAAUUUGGAUUUGUGAUAUUGAUUGAUGGUUUGGCUAAAGGCAAAUCAUCAAUCGCGCUAAAGUACCUCGUCACCAGCGGUGGUGCUUUAGCAACAAAAACGUUUUGACGUCUUCUAGCGAUCACGUCAAAACAAGUUUAGGUAAUACACGAUCAUCUGUUAAUCAAUUUCCAGGUGAUCGAAUUAUGUUUUAUCGAGCGACUUAUCUGGAAGGCCCUCACUCAUAGCGAGUAAGAGGGUUUAUCGUAGACUUGAUUGAAGGUAACCCUGUCAGAGUUACCGCGACCCUUUUGGGUUAUAUGGUCAAGUGAAUAAGCGUGCACGGUGGAUGCCUAGGCAGUCAGAGGCGAUGAAGGACGUGGUAACCUGCGAAAAGCUUUGGGGAGGUGGUAAACAACCUAUGAUCCAGAGAUAUCCGAAUGGGGAAACCCGG